UCUUUUAACUCUUCACUUUUCCCUUUAAG
rnacentral:piRNA from 1 species